UACUGGAGGACAGGUGCUGCAUGGCUGUCGUCAGCUCGUGUCGUGAGAUGUUGGGUUAAGUCCCGCCAACGAGCGCAACCCUUGCCUUUAGUUGCCAGCAGUUCGGCUGGGCACUCUAAAGGGACUGCCGGUGUUAAACCGGAGGAAGGUGGGGAUGACGUCAAGUCCUCAUGGCCUUUAUGACCAGGGCUACACACGUACUACAAUGGCCGAUACAAAGGGCAGCGACACUGCGAGGUGAAGCCAAUCCCGUAAAAUCGGUCUCAGUCCGGAUUGGAGUCUGCAACUCGACUCCAUGAAGUUGGAAUCGCUAGUAAUCGUGGAUCAGCAUGCCACGGUGAAUACGUUCCCGGGCCUU
rnacentral:rRNA from 1 species